rnacentral:rRNA from 1 species
UACGGGGGGAGCAAGCGUUGUUCGGAUUUACUGGGCGUAAAGGGCGCGUAGGCGGCGCAACAAGUCACUUGUGAAAUCUCCGGGCUUAACCCGGAGCGGCCAAGUGAUACUGUCGUGCUAGAGUGCGGAAGGGGCUACUGGAAUUCUCGGUGUAGCGGUGAAAUGCGUAGAUAUCUGGAGGAACACCGGUGGCGAAGGCGGCAUCCUGGACCAAUUCUGACGCUGAGUGAGCGAAAGCCAGGGGAGCAAACGGG